rnacentral:lncRNA from 1 species
AAUUGCAGCAGACUUGUUCUUUGCUGUUACAACUUCAGCAGAAAAAUUCUGCUACAAACAAGGUCUUCAAGUUCCUAAACUCUCUCCAUAUAUAUCUCCAUGUUUAGAGCCUAUAUAUAUUCUGAUUUAGUCUUCAAGACCUCCACAUGGGAGUUAGGAUAUUCACCAGAUAUCCUUGCUGAUCCCAUGACAUAUACUGAAUUAAUUAAUUCAGUUUCCUACACAUGUGCGAUGUCACAGA